ensembl:lncRNA
GUCUCGGCACUCCGUCUCCAUGGCGACGGGUUAGUGAUUAAACGUCCACUUUGUCACGCGGGAGCGACGUAAUGCAUCAACACAGCCUGAAACGCACAAAGAAGAAUGGACACUUCAUUUAAUGGCGAUGUGUCUCCAGCCGUCCCCCUCCUCUGCUCGUCUGAAUGAAGACUUCCUCCAACACGCCGACCGUCGCUCUGCUAUUCUUAUCUCGCCGAGUGACAACAGAAGAAACUUUAAAUUGGGCCUCAAAGAAGCGACUGCCGAGGAGAGAAACGUCCGGAAGCUGAUUCCAGCUCACGGAACAGAAGCGUCGCGUGCAAAGGAUUGUGGGUAUUUUUGGAGGAUUAACGCGUCCUUUAAUAUCUUCCAAUUGAAGGAUUCAGCUCUCAGAAUAAUUCUGAGGAUCCUUUUUUAUAUUUCUGAGAGGACAGAUUUAGUACAUACUUAUUAUUAUAAGUAUUAGUAUUAUUUUACACAAAGAAAGUAUAACUACUAUCAUUAUUUUGGUGGAUUGAACUGGUCUGACGGGCUUUGAUUCACGUCCCGUUCACGUCUGAGAAAGACUAACAAAUAAAAAACAAAUUUCCGAAUCCAA